rnacentral:tRNA from 13 species
UGACCCGGACGUGAUUUGAACACGCAGCUUUCUGAUCUGGAGUCAGAUGCUCUACCGUUACGCCACCGAGUC